rnacentral:rRNA from 1 species
UACGUAGGGUGCGAGCGUUGUCCGGAAUUACUGGGCGUAAAGAGCCCGUAGGUGGUUUGUCGCGUUGUCCGUGAAAACUCACAACUCAAUUGUGGGCGUGCGGGCGAUACGGGCAGACUGGAGUACUGCAGGGGAGACUGGAAUUCCUGGUGUAGCGGUGGAAUGCGCAGAUAUCAGGAGGAACACCGGUGGCGAAGGCGGGUCUCUGGGCAGUAACUGACGCUGAGGAGCGAAAGCGUGGGGAGCGAACAGG